AUGUGGUGUUUCUUUGUAUUUCAUGCUCAAGCCUGUGUGUGUGUGUGUGUGUAUGUGGGGGAAGUGUUUUCAGGCCCGUGUCUGUGCCUUUUGGUGGGGUAUGAGUCAGGGCAUAUGGCAUUUGCAGGUCUGUGUGUGACUGUAUCUCCGUGUGGCAGUGUUUGGCGCGGGGGCAGCUCCGCCGUUGCAGACGAACGGCGAUCGUCACCGCCCUGUGGCUGCACUGGAGGUUGAAGCCAGACACCAGGAAGGACCGCCAACCGCCCGCCCCAGGCCACGGCCAUCUCCUAACAGGAGACUCGCACUCAUGAACCCUAAUUCAGACACAGCGGGGCACACUCCCGGGCACACCUAACACACACAGGAGUGUGGGCCAGGCUGCUGUCACCUGGAUCAAGGGGUAAGGCCCACUGAUGCACACCCAGGAAUCCGCGCACGUGAGCAAGUGCCCACGCACACACAGGGGAGACACAGGUGAACAAACUCACCCCUCUCUGGGUCUUGGACCUUGUGGGGUGAAGAGGGCUGUAGCUCAGAAGUCCUAGGGAAGAGGGGCAGCCUGAGUCACUUCAUGUCCCCUUUACUGUCAGGCCCUGGGUUGGAUCCUGACAGGGAUGGCUCAGCCUACAUCACUUCUUCCAGAAGUUGGGGUGGGGGUGGGGGGUGGGCAUAAAGACCUGAAAUCCAGUUAUUCCUGGUCAUUCUCAUGAGGAGCCAUCCCACAGCCAGAGGCAGGUAAGAGCCAGGGGCUGCCUUCUCAUGGGAGGUCUCCCAGCGUCCUGGCUAGAACAGGUGGGUGGGUAGGGGGGCUGCUGUCAGGAGGACCAGAGGACAACAAGGAACUAGGGAUGGGAUGAUGGUUUCAGGUCCUCCUCUUCUGUGGAGAAUUUUGAGAAGGGGUAGAGGCUGACUCCCGUCAGUAAGGCUCAGCAAGGGGCCUAGCACCAAGAAGCUGCUCCAAAAAUACUAUUAACUGAGGCUUUUUUUUUUUUUUUUUUUUUUUAAAGGAGGGGCACCUAGAUGGCUCAGUUGGUUAAGCAUCUGCCUUCAGCUCAGGUCAUGGUCCCAGGGGCCUGGAAUGGAGCCCCUCAUCAGGCUCCCUGCUCAGUGGGGAGUCUGCUUCUCCCUCUCCUUCUGUUUCUCCCCUCUGCUCCUGCUCUCUUUCAAAUAAAUAAAUAAAAUCUUUAAAAAAAAAAGAAAGA
rnacentral:lncRNA from 12 species